UGCCAGCAGCCGCGGUAAUACGUAGGGUGCAAGCGUUAAUCGGAAUUACUGGGCGUAAAGCGUGCGCAGGCGGUCCGUUAAGACAGAUGUGAAAUCCCCGGGCUUAACCUGGGAACUGCAUUUGUGACUGGCGGGCUAGAGUAUGGCAGAGGGGGGUAGAAUUCCACGUGUAGCAGUGAAAUGCGUAGAGAUGUGGAGGAAUACCGAUGGCGAAGGCAGCCCCCUGGGCCAAUACUGACGCUCAUGCACGAAAGCGUGGGGAGCAAACAGGAUUAGAUACCCUGGUAGUCCACGCCCUAAACGAUGUCAACUAGUUGUUGGGGAUUCAUUUCCUUAGUAACGUAGCUAACGCGUGAAGUUGACCGCCUGGGGAGUACGGUCGCAAGAUUAAAACUCAAAGGAAUUGACGGGGACCCGCACAAGCGGUGGAUGAUGUGGAUUAAUUCGAUGCAACGCGAAAAACCUUACCUACCCUUGACAUGUAUGGAAUCCUGCUGAGAGGUGGGAGUGCCCGAAAGGGAGCCAUAACACAGGUGCUGCA
rnacentral:rRNA from 1 species